UUUCAGAAAAUUUAAGUUCCUAGCAUUUGUUACCUGUUCACAAUUAAUGCUCAACCUAGUGCACCUCAAACCUCAAUGAACUAGAUUAUAACAUUUUUUUUUUUUAAGGAGGAGCAAAACUGUCUUCUGUAAGCUGUGAUUUAUUUCAUUUCAGAAACUGGAAGUCGCCCAAGUAGGAGGAGGAAAGGAAACAAGGUGUAAGGAUAUUACAGGCCAUCGCAGAAAUGUGGUCAAGGAAUACAAGGAGGGGGGCUGUAGGAGUGAAGAGAAAGCCACUGAUUGCAGAAAAUACCUUAGGGGACUUCAUUAACAUCUUGUGAAUGUUCCUUCAAGUUUGAUUGAACAAGGGCGAUUUUCCUCCGGACAACUGAUAGAGUUCGAAUAUGCUGGAUCCGGUAUUAUUUUAGAUUAAUUUAAUCUUCAUGCUUUCAA